CCCCCAUCCCAGAGAGGGAGGGGGGAGGGUGAGCGAACGGCUGUGUGGUGUUUAGCUGCCAGCCGGGUUAAACCACAACAGGUGGCGGUAGAGGAACACGUGGGGGAAGGUCAGGUGGUGGAGGAGCAGGUGGAGGAUGAUCUGGGGGAAGAGGAGGAGGAAGAGGAGGAAAAGGAGGAGGACGACGACGACAAUGAUGAUGAUGACGACAACAACAAGAAGGAGGACGAGGAGUUGGAAAAGGUCGUGGAGCAGGAGAAGGAGGAGGCGGCAGCAGUGGUGGUGGUGGAGGAGGAGGCGGCAGUGGUGGCGGUGGAGGAGCGCACGGGGGAAGAGCAGGAAAUGCUAGUCGGGCUCAACUGACUGGACAGCAGACACAUGCUAAUUGAGUCCCAUGCAUCCUCAUGGUGUCAGCUCUACUUGACGGAUAUGCAGCAACUGUGAUGGAUGAGUGUCUGAAACCACCCUAGCAUCCAACAUGCAGCAGUCCAGCUGGAACAGCUAUGCAGGACCCAUUGCCAGACUUGCAGCCACUUGUGUCUACUAGAUACACUUAAAAAUCCUGCAGUUUAAGUAAGUUUGAAAUUCUGGAUGCCAAAACAAAGCUUCUCUGGGGAAAUCUAGGCAUGUGACAACAGGUGAGGAAGAAAGAAAAACAUUUUUUCAGUGGUUGUGGUGACCACUGUUGCCAGUGUUUAUGCAAAUGCCCACACAGAUUAGACUGGGAACUUCUCUGCUAUAUCUAUGAUUAUAUACCUUCACUCUGAUUAUAUGUUCUUUUUCUUUUCCUUUCCAGAAACACACACACACAUGAAUACAAGUGCACACAUUGACAACUGAUAACACUGAGCCAUCUCCCCUCAGGAAGAAUGAAGCCAGAUUCAUCCCUUCUCUCUCAAGUAUGCAUAAAGAUCUGCUGAUCCUAUUUGGACAUCUUCAGAGCUCUACAGCUAGCCCUUUCAUGCCUCAGAGCCUAUCCUGCCUCGCAAUAAAUGCUGCUGUGGAGGUUUGUGUUCCA
rnacentral:lncRNA from 1 species